GAUGAAGACGUAGCGAAAUGCGAUAAGUAGUGUGAAUUGCAGAAUUCAGUGAAUCAUCGAAUCUUUGAACGCACAUUGCGCCCCUUGGUAUCCCGAGGGGCAUGCCUGUUCGAGCGUCAUUUCACCACUCAAGCCUGGCUUGGUGUUGGGCGACGUCCUCUUUGGGGACGCGCCUCGAAACGCUCGGCGGCGUGGCACCGGCUUUAAGCGUAGCAGAAUCUUUCGCUUUGGAAGUCGGGGCCCCGUCUGCCGGAAGACCUGCUCGCAAGGUUGACCUCGGAUCAGGCAGGGAUACCCGCUGAACUUAAGCAUAUCAAUAAGCGGAGGA
rnacentral:misc_RNA from 1 species